UACAGAGGGUGCGAGCGUUGUCCGGAAUCACUGGGCGUAAAGGGCGCGUAGGUGGCGCUCCAAGUCUGUGGUGAAAGCUCGAUGCUCAACAUCGAGUCGGCCAUAGAGACUGGAGGGCUCGAGCACUGUAGGGGCAGAUGGAAUUCCGGGUGCAGCGGUGGAAUGCGUAGAGAUCCGGAAGAACACCGGUGGCGAAGGCGGUCUGCUGGGCAGUUGCUGACACUGAGGCGCGACAGCGUGGGGAGCAAACAGG
rnacentral:rRNA from 1 species